rnacentral:lncRNA from 1 species
GCAACAAGGGCGGAGGGAACUCCGGCGACAGGGGCAUUCCUUUUAUAGCUACUGGAGCAGAGGAACGGAAACGGCGCGGGGAGAGAGAAGGGGAGCGGCGCGAAGGCCGGGGAGAAGCAAUGGAGUGCUCUGCCGGGGCGGCGAUUGAGCGAAGAGGGCGGUGGCGCAGAACUCCGGGGGUGACGCCAGCGAUCAUUGCGUUCUGCCGUCAGGGCGGCGUAGGAGCGGGUAGACUGGUGGUUGAGAUUUGGCGGAAAGCGGGCGUCGUCGUGCGGAAGA